CGCUUCCGGGCGGGGGGGGGGUCCAUUCUGGAGUCGUCGGCCGCCUUGGUUCCGUGUAACCCGGAGACGUGACGCUCGGCAAUGGGAAGCCUUGGAUUGUGACAGCCCCGUCCCUCCCCCGCUCUCCGUCUCUCUCCCCGCCCGGGCCGAGCGGCCUCUCCCCGGCCUGCCGGGAUGGAGGAGGAGAGCAUGGAGGAGGAGGAGGGCGGCGGCGGCGGCGGCAGCCUCAGUAGCAGCAGCAGCUACGAAGCCUUAAUGGACGACCAGAACCACAACAACUGGGAAGCGGCGGGAGGAGGAAGGGGCAGCUACACGUGCCAGCCGCUGUCCCCGGAGGGACCCCGUGGCGAGGUCGCCCCCUCCCUGGACCCGCAGAAGGACUUCGAGAUGCAGAUGUUGUCCGAGGCUGCUAAUGGGUCGAGCAAAGGAGCGGCCGCCGGCGGCAUCAACCUCAACAUCAACUCGUCGACCUCUAAGUUCUUAAUGAAUGUUAUUACUAUAGAAGAGUAUAAGAGCACAUACUGGCCAAAGUUGGAUAGUGCCAUAGAUCAACUCUUAACUCAGAGUCCUGGUGACUACAUCCCUAUCUCCUAUGAACAAAUAUACAGUUGUGUGUAUAAAUGUGUGUGCCAGCAACAUUCGGAACAGAUGUAUAGUGACCUAAUAAAAAAGAUAACUAACCACUUAGAGAGUGUCUCAAAGGAGCUGCAGGCCAGCCCUCCAGAUUUCUACGUUGAAAGGUUUAACGUAGCACUCGGACAGUAUAUGGGAGCAUUACAGAGCAUUGUGCCUCUUUUCAUAUAUAUGAAUAAGUUUUACAUAGAAACAAAGCUUAACCGUGACUUAAGAAAUGACCUUAUAAAACUGUUUACGGAACAUGUUGCAGAAAAGCACAUUUACAGCCUGAUGCCUUUACUUCUAGAAGCUCAGUCCACGCCCUUUUGGAUAAGCCCUUCCACUAUGGCAAACAUUGUGAAAGGAUUAUAUAUGCUUAGGCCAGAAUGGGUUCAUAUGGCACCAGCUUUAUUUUCUAAAUUUAUUCCAAACAUCCUCCCUCCUGCAGUAGAAUCUGAACUUGAAGAAUAUGCUGCUCAAGACCAGAAACUUCAACAAGAACUUAUUCAGGAAGGAUUUUCCAGGCAUCGCUCUUAUCUCUAUCUUCCCACUUCACUUGAUAAGAGUUUGAAGCUUUCCUUCAGCUGAAGGAGUGGCUCUUCAUUGUGGUUCUUCCUCUUCAUUGGAAGAAGGGUUCUCAGACUGAAGGAAGACUUCAAACAGAGAGAUGGCUCAGCAUCCUGUGCAAGUUCAAGAGGGUGCAGAUAGCGACUGUGCUAGAAGUCGUAUAUUCCCAAUAGGAGCAGAUACUGGAGCAUUGGAGGGGGAGACAUCCAGAGGCUCACUUGGGUUCUACUGAUGCUCAGGUUCUUUGAUGCAAACUACACCUAGAAGAGGAGUGUGGAAUGAUAUCUUGCCAUGUAAUAAAAUGUUUGUUGCUGCUAAUUUGGAGCUAACUUGGAAAAGCAUGACUGGUCUUGACAAGGUGGUAUGUGUGGGGUUUUUUUGUUUUUGUCAAUACCGCCUGGAAAUAACCUUCAUUGCUUAAUAGAACUUGAUAACCAAAAAAGGGCAGCUUCUUUUGAAAUAAACUUUUGCACUUUUUGUGGACAUUGCUGUUAAAACUUGUCUGGAGCUUUGUUUUAAAAAUCAGACAGACAAACAUUGCACAUACAAGUGGUAUUUCUUUUCUGCACUAGGUUUGCCUCUGACUGUCUAUUUCAUGCAAUUGACAUUCUACAUUCCAGACUUUUUUGUUUAUUCAUUCAACCCCUCUUUCCAGUCCCCAUUUUUUUAACUCAUAUUUACAGUCUCUUCUAUUUGCUUUCAUCUCCUUGUCUUUAGCAUGUGAACUUUGCAAUGUGACAGCCUGUAAAAAUAUUUAUCUUUAAACUGUGAUUUGAUUAAGCAUCCUGCAGACUUUUCUGCAGUUCCUGUUCUUCUUAAGAAGAAGAAAAAGGACACUUUAAAAAAAUCACAGAAAUAUUAAUACAGGCCUGAACACUUUUUAUUUGGCUUUCAUGAUUAUUGCAACUGAUUGAAUUUUGGACUGAAUUCAGUUCCAACAUGUGAUUUCUGUUGAGAACUGAAACAAACACACACAGCAAUUGAAGUUAUUUGCCAAGUGAUUACAGACUCAGUUGGUUAAUUCUGGACUGCCCUCGCACAACAUAGUAUAAUGAGAGACUUCUAGUCUAAUUGCUGAAAUCAGUGCCAGAAUACUUUGGCACUGGGCUUGUCCUAGAUUUAAGAGUGUUGCUCACAGUUUGCUCAUGCAUCUGGUCAGUGAGGUACCUGAAGUUAUUUUACAAGUUCGGGAAAAGAGUACAGUACAGUUACAUUGCCCCACUUUCAAAUUGGUCUCCACACUUUCUUCUUGUCUCGGCCCUGUCUCUUUUUAAACCUUGAACAUAGUGUGAUUCAUCUACGGGAUGUGAUGUACCUGUAGCUGUUUAUGCCUCAUAAGGCAUGGAUCUAUAUCUCGGCUUUCUACUUCUGCUCGGGACCAGAGACAAAGCCACAUGGUGUGUUUUUUUCUCUUCAGUCUUCUCAAUGAAGAAACACUGUCAGUUCAGCCAAAACUAUAAAAUGAUAUGGAUUAUUUUUAGUCUCAUUUUAUUCAGAAAAGGAAGAGUGUUUACUGUAGUAAUUGGUAAGUGGAGAUGAGUUUGCCCCUAACAUGAGAGAGUCAAUCAAGGUGUACCUGUGAUGAGUAAUUAGCACUCAGGGAAGGCCUAGUUUUGAAUGACUCUUUAAUGUAAGCAUUGUGCUCCCUUGGAGCUGUGGAAAGUUUCUCAUUUAAGGAGGCAGAAUAUGUCAGCUUUUAUCACUUAGGAAGAAAAACAGUCUCAUGCUUUUUUCUCUGCUGACUGUAUAUUCAGUUCACAGAGAAGCAUAUGCAAUUUGAAAAUUGUAUAGGUUAGGAAAUGUGUUUUUCUGUGGUAUGGACUAAUCAUAUUUUAAAUGACUGAGAAUGGUAUUUGAAAAAGCAGUUGGUUGUUUAUAAUAGCAGGAAAUAGAGCAAUACCACAAUGGAGCAAAAAACAUUUUCAGUAUCAAAAACCUUUUGGAGGUGAUGGAAUGCCAAAUUCUUAAUGUGGUAGUCUAACAGUGCAUAGCUACAAAGAAAAUCUACCUGCAGGUGUGACAGGAGAAACCCUUUCUUUUGUGUAAUCUGAUCUUUUUGCUUUGCAUGCAUUCCCUACCCUGCACAAAUUGACUCUUUAGGAAUAAUAGAGCACAGAACUUAAUGAGAACUGUCAAUUUAAUUUGUCAUAAAAUGAUAGACGUUAUUGCAAUGUGAUAUUGGAGAUUUCAUUCUCUUCAAGGUCGCUGUUUGAUGUAACCACAUUCCAUGUCCAUAUCCUUUUGCACACUGAGGUCCUAAUCUUAUUGUUGCGAGGAGUAAGGACAUAGUCAUGCCACAGGGACUACAGUUGUGCAGUUGCCGUCCUGGAACAUAUGUUACUUUAUCUCAGUUUCUAGGCCUCAAUUUCCCUUGAGUAUAGAAUUUGUAUGAAGGCAUUCUGAUGCUGAAAUGAUCAGCGUAUGAUAGUGUUAGGUCUUGAACCUUAAUCAAAUAACUGGGCUCUGUGUAGCAUUUAUUCAGAAGUGUCAGUAGCAUUUAUUGAGAAGAUCAAUAGCAUUUAUUGAGAAGCAUCAGAGCACCAAAGCUUGGAAAAUCCAAUUCUAACAAACCUGGAUUUUGCACCCCCUUUAUCCCCUGCAAGUCCCCCCUCCUGAAUUCCUGUGAAAAACAGUCCCUGGAGCUGAGGUGCCCAAGGUCAGCGGCAGAUAGUAAGAGAAAGCCACCUGGCUUCCUGCCCCCAUGUGAUAAUGGAUGUGACUGUUUCUCAUAGGAUCAGGGUGUCAGGCAAAAGCUUGGUUAUCUCCAAAGCGUGUGAAGCCAUGAAGAUCAAGGAAAGAAUGCCACAGAUGGCAAUGGUAACAUAUUGCAGGCAGGUUACACAUAUCUUUUAGCAGCAUUUGAUUUGUAGCAUUAAGCAGUUACAAUGGGGUAGAAAUGCAUCUCAAUCACCUGGAUACAAUCCUUCUGAGAGAUAGUUCAUGCAUAGUGUAUAGAUACAUUCAGGGAUAAUGUAUUUUGGCAUGGAAAAUAAGAUGGAAAGGAAUGUAUUUGGGCUUUAAUAACUCAAAAAGCCCAAAUAGAGAAAUGUUUUGGGGAAAAAGCCAAUGUUCUGAUCUUGUCUUAAAAGCUAGUUGAGACUGUUAUGAUAUCAUUUAUAAAUUAAUGGAAGAUAAGUUGCUUGCUACACCCAGACAGCUCUGCUCAGUUCUUCCCAGAUACUGCAUUUGAAGGCAUUAUUUAUGUGCAACAAGAGGGCAGAGCUGUCCCUUCUACACCAUACUAGAAAGCAGUGUGGAAUGGGUGAGGGUUGAAGCAGGGGAGCAUAACACUUGCUCUAGAGCUCUGCGGCACGGUGUGUGUGUGUGUGUCUCCUAAAAGAACUCCCUGCUGUGAUCUCUCCAGCUAAUAGAAGCCCAGCAUUGGAAAGCUUUGUCUAGUCACACAGUACGUCAUCUUAGAUGAUAGAAAGCUAGAUUCCACCUCUUGUGCCCAGUCACUUUCAGAACAUUCUUAUGACAAAGUAGGGAUUCUGACACAUUUUUCAGAGACUGCAGAAUGAGAAGUGCAGUGCAGGAUAAUCAUUUGAGGUAAACAUGUAUGCUUCCAUGAUUAUCUGGCUUAUUGGUGCAGAUCACCUUGAUUUUGGGAGUCCAAAGGUAUGUGAAUCCAAAGGGUAGCCAACAGAAGCACAAGUGAAUUGUAGACUAUCUCAUAAAUAAUAGGUAUGUGGGAUUGUGUAAGACUAUGCCUAUCCCAGUGCCAUCUGGAGUUCAUCACCCAUGAAGAUAAUAUUAUAUGGAAGUAUUCCUGGUGGCAGCCAUGUACCCAUUGCACUUCCUUCCCUUGGAAUCUUGUCAUGGUCUGAGUCUGAAUGCCUUUGGGUAAAAGGUUUUAUUUAGCCUGGCUAAGCAGCUAUAUAUAUGGAACUUUAUUUUUAAAAAUUGUAGGAGUCUAACUGGAUAUUCUUUUGUUGGUUAAAUUUAAUCUAACUACAUCAGGCCAACUGGGUGUCAAUUUAAAAUAAAUCCUGUUGGUUCCCAGUACUGUGCAGAUUGUUUUAGGCACUCAACAUGUUUGCUGUCUUCUGUUUUUUUGUUGUGUAGGUUUUAAAAAAAACUCUCUACUGGUUUGUGCUUUGUAAUUAAGCUGUAGAACAUAUGACUUCUGUUUCAGGCUAUGGUUUUAUUUGUUACUAGAUGUCGAGCCCCUAGUAUACAAACUCUGAAAACUGAAGCAAAUUCCUCCAAAUAUGGUUGAUAUUCUUUCAUAACUUUUCAAAAUGUUUUAGCCCUAUGUAGCAUCUUGCCUAAAUAGGAAGCCUAAGAACUUUUUUUGGUAAAAAUAAAAUACUGUAUUAUGUGGUAAAUUGGUAUUAAGAUUUCUACGUUUUGGCGUCUGAUGCUGAAAUAAUUUGUUUUCAUGUUUUCAAAGGGUUUAAUUUUUGUGAGCUGAGCAUGAAGAACAUAAUAGGACAUAUGAAACAGUUGAUACUUUGUGAACAUUUACUUUAAAACUUGAUGAAUUAAUGUGUUCGGUCUCUACAGCCAUGACUUGACCAAAGCAACAUAGUCAUAGCUAUGGUGCUUCUGUGAAUUGAAUGACUUACCACUUUUUUUUCCUCCUUUUGUUCAUGAGAUCUAAAUGGCAAAGUUUUAUGCAUUGGGUAUCCUCUUAUAUAUCGAAUUUUGUUUCCUGGGAAACUUGCUCUAAUAAAAUAUUUUUAGACAAAAA